UACGAAGGGGGGCUAGCGUUGCUCGGAAUCACUGGGCGUAAAGCGUGCGCAGGCGGUGAUGUAAGACAGUUGUGAAAUCCCCGGGCUCAACCUGGGAACUGCAUCUGUGACUGCAUCGCUGGAGUGCGGCAGAGGGGGAUGGAAUUCCGCGUGUAGCAGUGAAAUGCGUAGAUAUGCGGAGGAACACCGAUGGCGAAGGCAAUCCCCUGGGCCUGCACUGACGCUCAUGCACGAAAGCGUGGGGAGCAAACAGG
rnacentral:rRNA from 1 species